UACGAGCUAAUACCGGAUAAUAUAUUGAACCGCAUGGUUCAAUAGUGAAAGACGGUUUUGCUGUCACUUAUAGAUGGAUCCGCGUCGCAUUAGCUAGUUGGUAAGGUAACGGCUUACCAAGGCAACGAUGCGUAGCCGACCUGAGAGGGUGAUCGGCCACACUGGAACUGAGACACGGUCCAG
rnacentral:rRNA from 1 species